rnacentral:pre_miRNA from 1 species
GGCCCAAAAUUGAAGUAGAGCAGAUUACGAGGAUUAUCUUACCCUACUAAACUACUCUACUUUGAGUUUGUGCCC